AAUAAUUGAAAAAUUAAAUUUACUCUUAAUUUAUUGAUGUAUGAAAAAAUUAAGAUAAAUAUAAGAUAAAAGGGCGUGGUCCAGUUCCAAUCUUUAGCCGUACAUUAUGUACAUAUGUAGGUCACCUUCAUCGUUUUUCUUUCUUUUUUUCUUUUACAAGAACAUGGUUCACAAAUGUAUCUUGUGCAAGGUCAAGAAUUGCGUAAGUUACCGCUCUCGAUAAGUUAAAGAAAAGUGAAAGAAAUUUUUUUUUUCCUCGCAAAUUUAUACGUUGUUCGUCAAUUAUUAAUUGAUCGACAUUUAUUAUAGCAAAUGUUUUGCGCAAAAGCGUAUAAAAAUGAUUAACGCUAAGAAAGUUUAAUGAAAACAUUUUUAUAGAAACAUAUGUGUUGCAAUUUCUGUUCCUUGAAAUGAUUAUUUUUAAUUCUACAGGAUACAUUCCCAUCGUUUAAAAUUAAAAUGUCAGGCAUACCUUUAAAUAUUGUUCACAUAUAUUUUUUAAUAUUCAUAGCUUCGCAAGAGGUAAUACACAUUACAUUAACGUGAUGCAAUAACAUCUUACUAUGAGUAUAGCGUCCGCUACCAUGCAUGCACAUACAAAUACUAAGUUUUUGGAAAAAAAUGCACCAAAAGUAUACUAGACAAGUUUGCGCUGCAGCACGCGUAUAAAUAGGCUGUUACAUUUACACAGAGCAUUCAAUUCGUUCCUCGUAUUUGAACAAGAAAUAGAAAAACAGGACAACAUCAUAUUCAAAUUCUUGGUAAUCUGUGAUUGCCUUUUGGCUAUCGCGAAUCUUAGCGUUUAUAGCGGCUUGAUUGCGGCACCCGCACUCGCAUCCGCGGCUAUUGCUAUUAAACCAGCUGCGAUCGCAUUGCCAACAACGAUUGUUGCCGCUCCCAUCUUAAAAGCGCCAUUGAUCGCCGCCGCUCCUACCGCUGCAUGGGCUCAACCCACUAUCGGAUUAGCUGCGCCUCUGGGAUUAGGACUUAAAAGCUAACAAGCUAAAUUUGUCGCGUUGAAUGAUAUAUAAAACAUGCCACCGCCACAUACCAUCAUACGUUGCAGCAGAAUACACCGCCCUUAAUCAGAUAUAGACACAAUUCGCUAAUAUAUACACAUUUCACAAUUUUCUAAAGCUAAAUUUUUGCUUCCUCAUAGAGGAAGCUUUAUUUUCGUGACAAAAUUUUUUUUCGUAUUUUUUAUGCCGAUGUGUUCAGAAUGUUCGAAAACGUCGAAAAAUCAUAUUCCUAAAAAAUGUAUGUAUGUAUGUAUAUACGCGAUAUGUUGUGCAACCUCUAACUUCCGCAAUUUUUGAGAUAUCUAGUUAAAUUUUUUUACAUGGAUA